rnacentral:rRNA from 1 species
CUCUUCUUGUUUAAUUAUUUGAAGUAUGGCCUGCCCACUGAUUUUAUUGAAGGGCCGCGGUAUUUUGACCGUGCAAAGGUAGCAUAAUCAUUAGUUCUUUAAUUGUGAACUGGUAUGAAUGGUUUGACGAGGUAUUGGCUGUCUUUGACUUAGGAUUUAUUGAAUUUGUUGUUUGGGUAAAAAUACCUAAAUUUUUUUAUGGGACGAGAAGACCCUAUAGAGUUUUAUAUAACUUCUUUCUUUUUUGUUUGUUGUGUUUUGUGAAGGGCUUAUAUUUUGUUGGGGUGAUGGGAGGAUAAAUGUAACUCUUCCUUUAUUAUUUUCACCAAUUUGUGUUUUUGUGAUCCUUUAUUAUUGAUUAUAAAAUCAAAUUACCUUAGGGAUAACAGCGUAA